rnacentral:rRNA from 1 species
AUUGAACGCUGGCGGAACGCUUUACACAUGCAAGUCGAACGGUAACGCGGUGAGAAGCUUGCUUCUCACCGGCGACGAGUGGCGAACGGGUGAGUAAUACAUCGGAACGUGUCCGCUCGUGGGGGACAGCCAGCCGAAAGGUUGGCUAAUACCGCAUGAGUUCUACGGAAGAAAGAGGGGGACCCGCAAGGGCCUCUCGCGAGCGGAGCGGCCGAUGACUGAUUAGCCGGUUGGUGAGGUAACGGCUCACCAAAGCAACGAUCAGUAGCUGGUCUGAGAGGACGACCAGCCACACUGGGACUGAGACACGGCCCAG